rnacentral:misc_RNA from 1 species
GUCACGCCCGAAGUCGUUACCUCAACCCGCAAGGGAGGGAGGCGCCUAAGGCAGGGCUGGUGACUGGGGUGAAGUCGUAAACAAGGUAGCMGUACCGGAAGGUGCGGUUGGAUCACCUCCUUAUAGGGAGACCUAUUUACUCUUAGACUGAACCAACACAGAAUUAGGUCAAGAGUAAGUCAUCCCAAGGUCGUUCGAGGAAUAUUGGAAAGCUUUCAAACUAAGUCAGGUUCUGAAACAAGCAACAAAGGGCCAUUAGCUCAGUUGGUUAGAGCGCACGGCUGAUAACCGUGAGGUCACUGGUUCGUGUCCAGUAUGGCCCACUUGAGAAAAGGCAAAAGGAGAAAGGCAAAAGUAAAAAACACAAAUAAAAGUUUUUACUUUAAACUUUAAACUUUUUACUUGGACUCUGGGGAUAUAGCUCAGUUGGUAGAGCGCCUGCUUUGCACGCAGGAAGUCAGGAGUUCGAAUCUCCUUAUCUCCACCAAACUACGAAAGACCAACGAAAGUAAGAGUUUAGCAACUUAUCUAGUCAGGCAAAGAGUCAAAAACUAGAGAGACUGCUAAAUUCUAGCGAAGGCAAGAAUUUAGAAAGAACCUUGAGAACUGCAUAGUAAUAGUAAUAAGAAGCAAGUAGAUCCAAAGUGGAAACACAGAGGUCAAGCUACAAAGGGCUCACGGUGGAUACCUAGGCACACAGAGG